rnacentral:piRNA from 1 species
UCGCCAAUGUAUUUGCUCUAUUCUGGCUG